rnacentral:rRNA from 1 species
UACGUAGGGGGCAAGCGUUGUCCGGAAUCAUUGGGCGUAAAGAGCGUGUAGGCGGCUUGGUAAGUCCGCUGUGAAAGUCCAGGGCUCAACCCUGGAAUGCCGGUGGAAACUGUCAAGCUUGAGUCCGGAAGAGGCGAGUGGAAUUCCGGGUGUAGUGGUGAAAUGCGUAGAGAUCCGGAGGAACACCAGUGGCGAAGGCGGCUCGCUGGGCUCAACCUGACGCUGAGGCGCGAAAGCGUGGGGAGCGAACCGG